rnacentral:rRNA from 1 species
AGAGUUUGAUCAUGGCUCAGAUUGAACGCUGGCGGCAGGCCUAACACAUGCAAGUCGAACGGUAACAGGAAGCAGCUUGCUGCUUCGCUGACGAGUGGCGGACGGGUGAGUAAUGUCUGGGAAACUGCCUGAUGGAGGGGGAUAACUACUGGAAACGGUGGCUAAUACCGCAUAACGUCGCAAGACCAAAGAGGGGGACCUUCGGGCCUCUUGCCAUCAGAUGUGCCCAGAUGGGAUUAGCUUGUUGGUGAGGUAACGGCUCACCAAGGCGACGAUCCCUAGCUGGUCUGAGAGGAUGACCAGCCACACUGGAACUGAGACACGGUCCAGACUCCUACGGGAGGCAGCAGUGGGGAAUAUUGCACAAUGGGCGCAAGCCUGAUGCAGCCAUGCCGCGUGUAUGAAGAAGGCCUUCGGGUUGUAAAGUACUUUCAGCGGGGAGGAAGGUGUUGUGGUUAAUAACCGCAGCAAUUGACGUUACCCGCAGAAGAAGCACCGGCUAACUCCGUGCCAGCAGCCGCGGUAAUACGGAGGGUGCAAGCGUUAAUCGGAAUUACUGGGCGUAAAGCGCACGCAGGCGGUCUGUCAAGUCGGAUGUGAAAUCCCCGGGCUCAACCUGGGAACUGCAUUCGAAACUGGCAGGCUUGAGUCUUGUAGAGGGGGGUAGAAUUCCAGGUGUAGCGGUGAAAUGCGUAGAGAUCUGGAGGAAUACCGGUGGCGAAGGCGGCCCCCUGGACAAAGACUGACGCUCAGGUGCGAAAGCGUGGGGAGCAAACAGGAUUAGAUACCCUGGUAGUCCACGCCGUAAACGAUGUCUACUUGGAGGUUGUGCCCUUGAGGCGUGGCUUCCGGAGCUAACGCGUUAAGUAGACCGCCUGGGGAGUACGGCCGCAAGGUUAAAACUCAAAUGAAUUGACGGGGGCCCGCACAAGCGGUGGAUCAUGUGGUUUAAUUCGAUGCAACGCGAAGAACCUUACCUGGUCUUGACAUCCACGGAAGUUUUCAGAGAUGAGAAUGUGCCUUCGGGAACCAAGAACCUUACCUGGUCUUGACAUCCACAGAAGAAUCCAGAGAUGGAUUUGUGCCUUCGGGAACUGUGAGACAGGUGCUGC